ACCAUUCUGGUAGAAUUUACUCACCAACUGGUUCAUCUGAUCAGUGGACUGGCACAUCAGGGCAAUGGUUUUCAAGAGAUGUGAACGUCCAGAUAUACGCUCUGAGUAGUGGGCCGGAAGAUGCCACAUCAUUCCCAAUACUAUGCUGUCUCUAACACAACUGAAAUGGGGUGCACCACAGAGCAGAUCACUCAUAAUGGGCCACUUACUGAACACUUGUCACCUGGACACAAAUGAGG